CCUGAUCCUUGAUGGGAAUCCUAGCUCUGGUAAGAUUCCUGAUUUCAUCGGGAACUGGAUACAAAUCAACAGACUGCUUAUGCCAGGCACGUCUAUGACGGGACGUAUUCCUUCUAACAUCGCUCUCUUGGUGAAUCUAAUAUGUUCUUCUUUUGUUGCUGCUUUAUUGCUUGGAAUUUCCUUGAAUUUAUACCCAGUCAUGGAAGUAGUAUGAUAUGAAUUACCUUUUUGAAUCCAAUAUGUUUCGAUUUUCUGGAGGAUAUCUGAUUUGAAAAGAUCAAGUAUGUCUUUCCCUUCAUUGGAGAAUAUGGCCAACAUGGAGACAUUGUGAGUUGAAUGGAUAUAACCCUGAUGGUGUAAAUAUAUUAUUUUUUGUUGAUUCUUUUGCUCAUGAAGUGUCUAUCUUGGUUGUGUUCUGCAGGGUACUAAAAUUGCUUGAUUUCUGACGAAAUCCCGUCAUAUAUUUGGAGCAGAACAAGGCAAAUCAAUUUCCUGUAAUUUAUUUUGGACAAAUCUUUUAUAUGUUGGCAUCUACCAGAAAAUCAUUGUUUAUUUUUUGUCACAGACUAGAAGAAAAGCUCUUGGACAUGGAGACCAUGGAUAUUCUAAGGCAGCAGGCCUUGUUAAAAGCACUUGUAAAACACAGGCCGAAACAGCUAUUACAGAAAAAAUGAUCCAUUAUGUAUAGGAAGGUGAUAUUCAUUUUCUUUC